CGUGGGGGAUGAAGGCCUUCCGGGUUGUAAACCCCUUUCGGCAGGGACGAAACUGACGGUACCUGCAGAAGAAGCCCCGGCCAACUACGUGCCAGCAGCCGCGGUGAUACGUAGGGGGCGAGCGUUGUCCGGAUUUAUUGGGCGUAAAGAGCUCGUAGGCGGCUUGGUCAGUCGAGUGUGAAACCUCCAGGCUCAACCUGGAGCCGCCACUCGAUACUGCCAUGGCUAGAGUCCGGUAGGGGACCACGGAAUUCCUGGUGUAGCGGUGAAAUGCGCAGAUAUCAGGAGGAACACCGGUGGCGAAGGCGGUGGUCUGGGCCGGUACUGACGCUGAGGAGCGAAAGCGUGGGGAGCGA
rnacentral:rRNA from 1 species